rnacentral:rRNA from 1 species
CCUACGGGUGGCAGCAGUAGGGAAUAUUGGUCAAUGGGCGAGAGCCUGAACCAGCCAUGCCGCGUGCAGGAAGACGGCCUUCUGGGUUGUAAACUGCUUUUAUCAGGGAACAAAAAGGCCAUGCGUGGCAAAUUGCGUGUACCUGAAGAAUAAGCACCGGCUAACUCCGUGCCAGCAGCCGCGGUAAUACGGAGGGUGCAAGCGUUGUCCGGAUUUAUUGGGUUUAAAGGGUGCGUAGGUGGUCGAUUAAGUCAGUGGUGAAAGCCAACAGCUCAACUGUUGAACUGCCAUUGAUACUGGUCGACUUGAGUAUAGAUGAGGUAGGCGGAAUUUAUGGUGUAGCGGUGAAAUGCAUAGAUACCAUAAAGAACACCGAUAGCGAAGGCAGCUUACUAAACUAUAACUGACACUGAGGCACGAAAGCGUGGGGAGCGAACAG